rnacentral:rRNA from 1 species
AGAGUUUGAUCAUGGCUCAGGAUGAUCGCUAGCGGCAGGCUUAACACAUGCAAGUCGAGGGGCAGCGCGUCGUAGCAAUACGAUGGCGGCGACCGGCGCAAGGGUGCGUAACGCGUGAGCAACUUGCCCGCAACAGGAGGAUAACCGGAGGAAACUCCGACUAAUACUGCGUAGCAACGGAUGGCGGCAUCGCCGACCGUUUAAAGGCGAAAGCUGGUUGCGGAUAGGCUCGCGUGACAUUAGCUGGAUGGCGGGGUAACGGCCCACCAUGGCGACGAUGUCUAGGGGUUCUGAGAGGAAGGUCCCCCACACUGGAACUGAGACACGGACCAGACUCCUACGGGAGGCAGCAGUGAGGAAUAUUGGUCAAUGGACGGAAGUCUGAACCAGCCAUGCCGCGUGAAGGAAGAAGGCCCUAUGGGUUGUAAACUUCUUUUGUGCGAGAGUAAUAAGGGCUUUGCGAAGCCCGAUGAGAGUAUCGUACGAAUAAGCAUCGGCUAACUCCGUGCCAGCAGCCGCGGUAAUACGGAGGAUGCAAGCGUUAUCCGGAUUUAUUGGGUUUAAAGGGUGCGUAGGCGGACCUUUAAGUCAGCGGUGAAAAUAUCCCGGCUCAACCGGGAGGCUGCCGUUGAUACUGGGGGUCUUGAGGGCGAACGGCGCCGGCGGAAUGUGUCAUGUAGCGGUGAAAUGCAUAGAUAUGACACAGAACACCGAUCGCGAAGGCAGCUGGCGAGGACGCGACUGACGCUGAGGCAUGAAGGUGCGGGGAUCAAACAGGAUUAGAUACCCUGGUAGUCCGCACAGUAAACGAUGAUGACUUGUUGUCGGCGAUAGACAGCCGGUGACAAAGCGAAAGCGAUAAGUCAUCCACCUGGGGAGUACGAUCGCAAGGUUGAAACUCAAAGGAAUUGACGGGGGCCCGCACAAGCAGUGGAUUAUGUGGUUUAAUUCGAAGCAACGCGAAGAACCUUACCAGGGCUUGACAUCCAACUAACGAAGCCGAGAUGCAUUAGGUGCCCUUCGGGGAAAGUUGAGACAGGUGGUGCAUGGUUGUCGUCAGCUCGUGUCGUGAGAUGUUGGGUUAAGUCCCGCAACGAGCGCAACCCCUAUUGUUAGUUGCUACGCAAGAGCACUCUAGCGAGACUGCCGUUGACAAAACGGAGGAAGGUGGGGACGACGUCAAAUCAUCAUGCCCCUUAUGUCCUGGGCUACACACGUAAUACAAUGGUCGUCAACAGAGGGAAGCAAAACCGCGAGGUAGAGCAAAUCCCUAAAAGCGAUCUCAGUUCGGAUUGCAGGCUGCAACUCGCCUGCAUGAAGUCGGAAUCGCUAGUAAUCGUGAAUCAGAAUGUCACGGUGAAUACGUUCCCGGGUCUUGUACACACCGCCCGUCACACCAUGGGAGUCGGUAACGCCCGAAGUACGUGACCUAACCGUAAGGAAGGAGCGUCCGAAGGCGGGACUGAUAACUGGGGUGAAGUCGUAACAAGGUAGCCGUAUCGGAAGGUGCGGCUGGAACACCUCCUU